rnacentral:rRNA from 1 species
AUUGAACGCUGGCGGCAGGCCUAACACAUGCAAGUCGAACGGUAGCACAGAGAGCUUGCUCUCGGGUGACGAGUGGCGGACGGGUGAGUAACGUCUGGGAAACUGCCCGAUGGAGGGGGAUAACUACUGGAAACGGUAGCUAAUACCGCAUAACGUCGCAAGACCAAAGUGGGGGACCUUCGGGCCUCACACCAUCGGAUGUGCCCAGAUGGGAUUAGCUAGUAGGUGGGGUAAUGGCUCACCUAGGCGACGAUCCCUAGCUGGUCUGAGAGGAUGACCAGCCAAACUGGAACUGAGACACGGUCCAGACUCCUACGGGAGGCAGCAGUGGGGAAUAUUGCACAAUGGGCGCAAGCCUGAUGCAGCCAUGCCGCGUGUAUGAAGAAGGCCUUCGGGUUGUAAAGUACUUUCAGCGGGGAGGAAGGCGGUGAAGUUAAUAGCUUCACCGUUUGACGUUACCCGCAGAAGAAGCACCGGCUAACUCCGUGCCAGCCGCCGCAGUAA